rnacentral:rRNA from 1 species
GAAGCUCUGAACCGAAGCCCCAGUAAACGGCGGCCGUAACUAUAACGGUCCUAAGGUAGCGAAAUUCCUUGUCGGGUAAGUUCCGACCCGCACGAAAGGCGCAACGACUUGGGCGCUGUCUCAACGAAGGACCCGGUGAAAUUGUAGUACCUGUGAAGAUGCAGGUUACCCGCGACAAGACGGAAAGACCCCGUGGAGCUUUACUGUAGCCUGAUAUUGGAUUUUGGCAUUUACUGUACAGAAUAGGUGGGAGGCUAAGAAUAGAGGACGCUAGUUUUCUAGGAGCCCCAAGUGGGAUACCACCCUGUAAAUGUUGAAAUUCUAACUAUAAACCGUAAUCCGGUUUUAGGACAGUGUCAGGUGGGCAGUUUGACUGGGGCGGUCGCCUCCCAAAGAGUAACGGAGGCGCCCCAAGGUCUCCUCAGAAUGGUUGGAAAUCAUUCGCAGAGUGUAAAGGCAGAAGGAGGCUUGACUGCGAGACCUACAAGUCGAGCAGGGACGAAAGUCGGGCUUAGUGACCCGGCGGUACCGAGUGGAAGGGCCGUCGCUCAACGGAUAAAAGCUACCCCGGGGAUAACAGGCUUAUCUCCCCCAAGAGUUCACAUCGACGGGGAGGUUUGGCACCUCGAUGUCGGCUCAUCGCAUCCUGGGGCUGAAGUAGGUCCCAAGGGUUGGGCUGUUCGCCCAUUAAAGCGGUACGCGAGCUGGGUUCAGAACGUCGUGAGACAGUUCGGUCCCUAUCUGUCGCGGGCGCAGGAAGUUUGAGGGGAUCUGUCCUUAGUACGAGAGGACCGGGAUGGACGGACCUCUGGUGUACCAGUUGUCACGCCAGUGGCAAUGCUGGGUAGCCAAGUUCGGCAUGGAUAAGCGCUGAAAGCAUCUAAGCGCGAAGCCAACCUCAAGAUAAGACUUCCCAACUUGUUAAAGAGUGUAAGACCCCAGAAAGAUUAUCUGGUUGAUAGGCCAGGGGUGUAAUGGUAGAAAUACCUUUAGCUGACUGGUACUAAUAGGUCGAGGACUUGACCUA